UACGUAGGGGUCGAGCGUUGUCCGGAGUUACUGGGCGUAAAGCGUGCGCAGGUGGCUCAUUGCGCCCGGCGUGAAAGCCCCCGGCUCAACCGGGGAGGGUCGUCGGGGACGGGUGAGCUUGAGGGUAGCAGGGGCUGGUGGAACUCCCGGUGUAGUGGUGAAAUGCGUAGAGAUCGGGAAGAACACCCGUGGCGAAGGCGGCCAGCUGGGCUACACCUGACACUGAGGCACGAAGGCGUGGGGAGCGAACGGGAUUAGAAACCCUAGUAGUCC
rnacentral:rRNA from 1 species